UACCAACAAACUGGGCAAGCUGGUGAGGAAGGCCAGCCCUGUGGUGGGGAUGGAACUGGACAGUGUGGAGGCAGUGACAGAGAGGAAGAUG